GGUUAAGCGACUAAGCGUACACGGUGGAUGCCCUGGCAGUCAGAGGCGAUGAAGGACGUGCUAAUCUGCGAUAAGCGUCGGUAAGGUGAUAUGAACCGUUAUAACCGGCGAUUUCCGAAUGGGGAAACCCAGUGUGAUUCGUCACACUAUCAUUAACUGAAUCCAUAGGUUAAUGAGGCGAACCGGGGGAACUGAAACAUCUAAGUACCCCGAGGAAAAGAAAUCAACCGAGAUUCCCCCAGUAGCGGCGAGCGAACGGGGAGCAGCCCAGAGCCUGAAUCAGUGUGUGUGUUAGUGGAAGCGUCUGGAAAGGCGUGCGAUACAGGGUGACAGCCCCGUACACAAAAAUGCACAUGCUGUGAGCUCGAUGAGUAGGGCGGGACACGUGGUAUCCUGUCUGAAUAUGGGGGGACCAUCCUCCAAGGCUAAAUACUCCUGACUGACCGAUAGUGAACCAGUACCGUGAGGGAAAGGCGAAAAGAACCCCGGCGAGGGGAGUGAAAAAGAACCUGAAACCGUGUACGUACAAGCAGUGGGAGCACAGAGCAAUCUGUGUGACUGCGUACCUUUUGUAUAAUGGGUCAGCGACUUAUAUUCUGUAGCAAGGUUAACCGAAUAGGGGAGCCGAAGGGAAACCGAGUCUUAACUGGGCGUUAAGUUGCAGGGUAUAGACCCGAAACCCGGUGAUCUAGCCAUGGGCAGGUUGAAGGUUGGGUAACACUAACUGGAGGACCGAACCGACUAAUGUUGAAAAAUUAGCGGAUGACUUGUGGCUGGGGGUGAAAGGCCAAUCAAACCGGGAGAUAGCUGGUUCUCCCCGAAAGCUAUUUAGGUAGCGCCUCGUGAAUUCAUCUCCGGGGGUAGAGCACUGUUUCGGCAAGGGGGUCAUCCCGACUUACCAACCCGAUGCAAACUGCGAAUACCGGAGAAUGUUAUCACGGGAGACACACGGCGGGUGCUAACGUCCGUCGUGAAGAGGGAAACAACCCAGACCGCCAGCUAAGGUCCCAAAGUCAUGGUUAAGUGGGAAACGAUGUGGGAAGGCCCAGACAGCCAGGAUGUUGGCUUAGAAGCAGCCAUCAUUUAAAGAAAGCGUAAUAGCUCACUGGUCGAGUCGGCCUGCGCGGAAGAUGUAACGGGGCUAAACCAUGCACCGAAGCUGCGGCAGCGACGCUUAUGCGUUGUUGGGUAGGGGAGCGUUCUGUAAGCCUGCGAAGGUGUGCUGUGAGGCAUGCUGGAGGUAUCAGAAGUGCGAAUGCUGACAUAAGUAACGAUAAAGCGGGUGAAAAGCCCGCUCGCCGGAAGACCAAGGGUUCCUGUCCAACGUUAAUCGGGGCAGGGUGAGUCGACCCCUAAGGCGAGGCCGAAAGGCGUAGUCGAUGGGAAACAGGUUAAUAUUCCUGUACUUGGUGUUACUGCGAAGGGGGGACGGAGAAGGCUAUGUUGGCCGGGCGACGGUUGUCCCGGUUUAAGCGUGUAGGCUGGUUUUCCAGGCAAAUCCGGAAAAUCAAGGCUGAGGCGUGAUGACGAGGCACUACGGUGCUGAAGCAACAAAUGCCCUGCUUCCAGGAAAAGCCUCUAAGCAUCAGGUAACAUCAAAUCGUACCCCAAACCGACACAGGUGGUCAGGUAGAGAAUACCAAGGCGCUUGAGAGAACUCGGGUGAAGGAACUAGGCAAAAUGGUGCCGUAACUUCGGGAGAAGGCACGCUGAUAUGUAGGUGAAGUCCCUCGCGGAUGGAGCUGAAAUCAGUCGAAGAUACCAGCUGGCUGCAACUGUUUAUUAAAAACACAGCACUGUGCAAACACGAAAGUGGACGUAUACGGUGUGACGCCUGCCCGGUGCCGGAAGGUUAAUUGAUGGGGUUAGCGCAAGCGAAGCUCUUGAUCGAAGCCCCGGUAAACGGCGGCCGUAACUAUAACGGUCCUAAGGUAGCGAAAUUCCUUGUCGGGUAAGUUCCGACCUGCACGAAUGGCGUAAUGAUGGCCAGGCUGUCUCCACCCGAGACUCAGUGAAAUUGAACUCGCUGUGAAGAUGCAGUGUACCCGCGGCAAGACGGAAAGACCCCGUGAACCUUUACUAUAGCUUGACACUGAACAUUGAGCCUUGAUGUGUAGGAUAGGUGGGAGGCUUUGAAGUGUGGACGCCAGUCUGCAUGGAGCCGACCUUGAAAUACCACCCUUUAAUGUUUGAUGUUCUAACGUUGACCCGUAAUCCGGGUUGCGGACAGUGUCUGGUGGGUAGUUUGACUGGGGCGGUCUCCUCCUAAAGAGUAACGGAGGAGCACGAAGGUUGGCUAAUCCUGGUCGGACAUCAGGAGGUUAGUGCAAUGGCAUAAGCCAGCUUGACUGCGAGCGUGACGGCGCGAGCAGGUGCGAAAGCAGGUCAUAGUGAUCCGGUGGUUCUGAAUGGAAGGGCCAUCGCUCAACGGAUAAAAGGUACUCCGGGGAUAACAGGCUGAUACCGCCCAAGAGUUCAUAUCGACGGCGGUGUUUGGCACCUCGAUGUCGGCUCAUCACAUCCUGGGGCUGAAGUAGGUCCCAAGGGUAUGGCUGUUCGCCAUUUAAAGUGGUACGCGAGCUGGGUUUAGAACGUCGUGAGACAGUUCGGUCCCUAUCUGCCGUGGGCGCUGGAGAACUGAGGGGGGCUGCUCCUAGUACGAGAGGACCGGAGUGGACGCAUCACUGGUGUUCGGGUUGUCAUGCCAAUGGCACUGCCCGGUAGCUAAAUGCGGAAGAGAUAAGUGCUGAAAGCAUCUAAGCACGAAACUUGCCCCGAGAUGAGUUCUCCCUGACUCCUUGAGAGUCCUGAAGGAACGUUGAAGACGACGACGUUGAUAGGCCGGGUGUGUAAGCGCAGCGAUGCGUUGAGCUAACCGGUACUAAUGAACCGUGAGGCUUAACCUU
rnacentral:rRNA from 1 species